rnacentral:lncRNA from 1 species
AAAAAACAAGGGGGUUUAUAUUAUUGAUCAAAUGGUGUGAUUACACUCAGUUCAAUCCCAACAACCCUGGGAGUUUUAUAAGUCAGAAUUCGAUCAGAACAUAGGGGUUUGUAUUAUUCAAGAUUGAUAACUGAUACAAGUAUGUCAGAGAAGAAAUUCCUCUCUUUACAAGAAUGAAAAUAUGGUGGUUUCUCAUGAU